rnacentral:tRNA from 1 species
GUACCCAUAGUUUAAUGGUAAAACUUCUCUUUGUGGAGGAGAAAAUGAGAGUUCGAUUCUCUCUGGGUACCCA